CCCCUAGAUGUUCUGGGCCGCACGCGCGCUACACUGAACAGUUCAACAAGUCUUAACCUUGGCCGAUAGGUCUGGGGAAUCUUUGAACGCUGUUCGUGAUUGGGAUAGACCUUUGCAAUUAUGGGUCUUCAACGAGGAAUUCCUAGUAAACGCAAGUCAUCAGCUUGCAUUGAUUACGUCCCUGCCCUUUGUACACACCGCCCGUCGCACCUACCGAUUGAAUGGUCCGGUGAAAUCUCGGGACGGCGGCUUGGUCGCUUGCGUCCGACUGCUGAAACUUGAUUAAACCAUAUCAUUUAGAGGAAGGUGAAGUCGUAACA
rnacentral:rRNA from 1 species